GACGAACGCUGGCGGCGUGCUUAACACAUGCAAGUCGAGCGGUAAGGCCUUUCGGGGUACACGAGCGGCGAACGGGUGAGUAACACGUGGGUGAUCUGCCCUGCACUUCGGGAUAAGCCUGGGAAACUGGGUCUAAUACCGGAUAUGACCUCCUAUCGCAUGGUGGGUGGUGGAAAGAUUUAUCGGUGCAGGAAGGGCCCGCGGCCUAUCAGCUUGUUGGUGGGGUAAUGGCCUACCAAGGCGACGACGGGUAGCCGACCUGAGAGGGUGACCGGCCACACUGGGACUGAGACACGGCCCAGACUCCUACGGGAGGCAGCAGUGGGGAAUAUUGCACAAUGGGCGAAAGCCUGAUGCAGCGACGCCGCGUGAGGGAUGACGGCCUUCGGGUUGUAAACCUCUUUCAGCAGGGACGAAGCGCAAGUGACGGUACCUGCAGAAGAAGCACCGGCUAACUACGUG
rnacentral:rRNA from 1 species